GACGAACGCUGGCGGCGUGCUUAAUACAUGCAAGUCGACUGAACUUAAGGUAGCAAUAUUUUAAGGGAGGUGGCGCACGGGUGAGUAACACGUAGGUAAUCUGCCUUUAGGACUGACAUAACUCCGCGAAAGCGGAGCUAAUUUCAGAUGAUGCAGCGGCUCGACAUCGAGACAGUUGUUAAACCUUCGGGGCCUAAAGAUGAGCCUGCGUCUGAUUAGGUAGUUGGCGGAGUAAUAGCCCACCAAGCCAUCGAUCAGUAGCUGGUCUGAGAGGAUGAUCAGCCACACUGGAACUGAGACACGGUCCAGACUCCUACGGGAGGCAGCAGUAAGGAAUAUUGCUCAAUGGCCGAAAGGCUGAAGCAGCAACGCCGCGUGGAGGAUG
rnacentral:rRNA from 1 species